UUUAGUAUUUAGAAGGUGAAUGAAUAUGGUUGUGGUCAACAUUAAAUUCUUCCAUGCAAUUGUGGAAAUUUCAUAAUUUUACCAAUAUGUAUGUUAUUUAUUUUAUUCUAUUAUAUUUGGGUUUAGGAUUUAUAUUUGGGUUUAGGGUAUAGUGGUUAGAGUUUAGGGUUUAGUAUUUAGGUGUCGAGGUGGGAUUGGGAUAAGGUUUAAUAUCUAGGAAUUGGGGUUGAGAAAUGUUUAGUAUUUACGGGUUGUAGGUGAGAUUAUAAUCCUAUAAUAUUUCCACGAUAUGGAAUAACACUCAAUUAACAUUAAUGUCUUCAUACAAUUCGCCUUCUUCAUUGUCUUUUUAUUUCUUCUUAUCAAAAUAGAGUGACUGAGGUUAUUAAUUGAAAUACAUAAUAUAUUGGAAGAGAUUCUAUUUUUGGCCACUGAAAACAACAACUUUGUAUGCGGUAAACGAGUGUGUGGUGUUGGUGGUGUUAUGUGGUGUGAUAAUUAAUUGUAGAGUUUUCCAACUGACUACAUCAUCCAUUUAUUCUUUCUUUCACCGACUACUUGUAAGAAAUAAGGGUAGAACCGGCUAAAAAACAGGUUAAUGUUAGUUAGCUAAUUAUGUCAAAAUCAUGUGCAUUUUUUUAAUUUUCACUCUCAAAUUGGCUAUUCAGAAAAUAAGCCCAUGUUUUUUUCUGUAUAUUUAUAAACUUGCUGUAGAAAUCCUGAUUAC
rnacentral:lncRNA from 1 species